rnacentral:rRNA from 1 species
AUACGUAGGGGGCGAGCGUUGUCCGGAAUGAUUGGGCGUAAAGGGCGCGUAGGCGGCUUUGCAAGUCAGUAGUGGAAGUCCAUUUUUCAAGGAUGGAAGUGCUACAGAAACUGCGGAGCUUGAGUGCAGGAGAGGUUAUCGGAAUUCCCGGUGUAGCGGUGAAAUGCGUAGAGAUCGGGAGGAACACCAGUGGCGAAGGCGGGUAACUGGACUGCAACUGACGCUGAGGCGCGAAAGCGUGGGGAGCAAACAGGAUUAGAUACCCUGGUAGUCCACACUGUAAACGAUGAAUGCUAGGUGUAGGAGGUAUCGACCCCUUCUGUGCCGCAGUAAACACAGUAAGCAUUCCGCCUGGGGAGUACGGUCGCAAGAUUAAAACUCAAAUGAAUUGGCGGGG